rnacentral:rRNA from 1 species
GAUGAACGCUGGCGGCGUGCCUAAUACAUGCAAGUCGAGCGAACAGACGAGGAGCUUGCUCCUCUGACGUUAGCGGCGGACGGGUGAGUAACACGUGGAUAACCUACCUAUACGACUGGGAUAACUUCGGGAAACCGUAGCUAAUACCGGAUAAUAUAUUGAACCGCAUGGUUCAAUAGUGAAAGACGGUUUUGCUGUCACUUAUAGAUGGAUCCGCGCCGCAUUAGCUAGUUGGUAAGGUAACGGCUUACCAAGGCAACGAUGCGUAGCCGACCUGAGAGGGUGAUCGGCCACACUGGAACUGAGACACGGUCCAGACUCCUACGGGAGGCAGCAGUAGGGAAUCUUCCGCAAUGGGCGAAAGCCUGACGGAGCAACGCCGCGUGAGUGAUGAAGGUCUUCGGAUCGUAAAACUCUGUUAUUAGGGAAGAACAAAUGUGUAAGUAACUAUGCACGUCUUGACGGUACCUAAUCAGAAAGCCACGGCUAACUACGUG